rnacentral:misc_RNA from 1 species
GGAAGUAAAAGUCGUAAUAAGGUUUCCGUAGGUGAACCUGCGGAAGGAUCAUUAUUGUAUAACCGAGGUGCGAGGGCUGUCGCUGACCCGAAAGGUCGUGCACGCCCAAGUGCCCUCACACACAUCCAUCUCACCCCUAUGUGCACCACCGCGUGGGUCCCCCUUUGGCUUGUUCGGAGGGGGGCUUACGUUUUCACACAAACUUUGUAUGCAGUGUAGAAUGUAUUUUUUGUUUUUGCGAUCACGCAAUCAAUACAACUUUCAACAACGGAUCUCUUGGCUCUC